CAAUAGCGUAUAUUAAAGUUGUUGCAGUUAAAAAGCUCGUAGUCGGAUUUCGGGUCGGGCCGAGCGGUCUGCCGAUGGGUAUGCACUGUUUGGCGCGGCCUUCUUUCCGGAGACCGCGGCUACUCUUAACUGAGCGGGCGGGAGACGGAUCGUUUACUUUGAAAAAUUAGAGUGUUUCAGGCAGGCUAGGCCGGAAUACAUUAGCAUGGAAUAAUGGAAUAGGACUACGGUCUCUUUGUUGGUUUGAGGGACUGCAGUAAUGAUUAAAAGGGGCAGUCAGGGGCACUCGUAUUCCGUCGAGAGAGGUGAAAUUCUCAGACCAAUGGAAGACGAACCACUGCGAAAGCAUUUGCCAGGGAUGUUUUCACUGAUCAAGAACGAAAGUUAGGGGAUCGAAGACGAUCAGAU
rnacentral:rRNA from 1 species